rnacentral:tRNA from 1 species
GUGUUAGUAGCUUAUAGGUAAAGCGUCUGACUGUGGAUCAGAAGAAGAGGGUUCGAGUCCCCCUAACACC